GACGAACGCUGGCGGCGUGCUUAACACAUGCAAGUCGAACGGAAAGGCCCUGCUUUUGUGGGGUGCUCGAGUGGCGAACGGGUGAGUAACACGUGAGUAACCUGCCCUUGACUUUGGGAUAACUUCAGGAAACUGGGGCUAAUACCGGAUAGGAGCUCCUGCUGCAUGGUGGGGGUUGGAAAGUUUCGGCGGUUGGGGAUGGACUCGCGGCUUAUCAGCUUGUUGGUGGGGUAGUGGCUUACCAAGGCUUUGACGGGUAGCCGGCCUGAGAGGGUGACCGGCCACAUUGGGACUGAGAUACGGCCCAGACUCCUACGGUAGGCAGCAGUGGGGAAUAUUGCACAAUGGGCGGAAGCCUGAUGCAGCAACGCCGCGUGCGGGAUGACGGCCUUCGGUUUGUAAACCGCUUUCGCCUGUGACGAAGCGUGAGUGACGGUAAUGGGUAAAGAAGCACCGGCUAACUACGUG
rnacentral:rRNA from 1 species